rnacentral:rRNA from 1 species
GUGAACGCUGGCGGUAGGCCUAACACAUGCAAGUCGAACGGCAGCACCGUAAGAGCUUGCUCUUACGGGUGGCGAGUGGCGGACGGGUGAGGAAUACAUCGGAAUCUACUUUUUCGUGGGGGAUAACGUAGGGAAACUUACGCUAAUACCGCAUACGACCUACGGGUGAAAGCAGGGGAUCUUCGGACCUUGCGCGAUUGAAUGAGCCGAUGUCGGAUUAGCUAGUUGGCGGGGUAAAGGCCCACCAAGGCGACGAUCCGUAGCUGGUCUGAGAGGAUGAUCAGCCACACUGGAACUGAGACACGGUCCAGACUCCUACGGGAGGCAGCAGUGGGGAAUAUUGGACAAUGGGCGCAAGCCUGAUCCAGCCAUACCGCGUGGGUGAAGAAGGCCUUCGGGUUGUAAGGCCCUUUUGUUGGGAAAGAAAAGCAGCAGGUUAAUACCCCGCUGUUCUGACGGUACCCAAAGAAUAAGCACCGGCUAACUUCGUG